AUCCAGCUGAUGAGCCCCAAAUAGGACGAAGCGGCGCGCAUCCUGGAU
rfam:Schistosoma margrebowiei strain Zambia genome assembly, scaffold: SMRZ_scaffold0003497